AACAGGAUUAGAUACCCUGGUAGUCCACGCCCUAAACGAUGUCAACUAGUUGUUGGUAGAGUAAAAUCUAUGAGUAACGCAGCUAACGCGUGAAGUUGACCGCCUGGGGAGUACGAUCGCAAGAUUAAAACUCAAAUGAAUUGACGGGGGCCCGCACAAGCGGUGGAUUAUGUGGAUUAAUUCGAUGCAACGCGAAAAACCUUACCUGGCCUUGACAUGUACCGAAUUUACCAGAGAUGGUUUAGUGCUCGAAAGAGAACGGUAACACAGGUGCUGCAUGGCUGUCGUCAGCUCGUGUCGUGAGAUGUUGGGUUAAGUCCCGCAACGAGCGCAACCCUUGCCAAUAAUUGCCAUCAUUUAGUUGGGCACUUUAUUGGGACUGCCGAUGACAAAUCGGAGGAAGGUGGGGAUGACGUCAAGUCCUCAUGGCCCUUAUGGCCAGGGCUUCACACGUAAUACAAUGGUCGGUACAGAGGGUCGCCAACCCGCGAGGGGGAGCUAAUCCCAGAAAGCCGAUCGUAGUCCGGAUUGUUCUCUGCAACUCGAGAGCAUGAAGUCGGAAUCGCUAGUAAUCGCGGAUCAGCAUGUCGCGGUGAAUACGUUCCCGGGCCUUGUACACACCGCCCGUCACACCAUGGGAGUGGGUUUUACCAGAAGUAGGUAGUCUAACCGCAAGGGGGGCGCUUACCACGGUAGUAUUCAUGACUGGGGUGAAGUCGUAACAAGGUAACC
rnacentral:rRNA from 1 species